rnacentral:rRNA from 1 species
CGCGUUCACUCCUACGGGAGGCAGCAGUGGGGAAUAUUGCACAAUGGGGGAAACCCUGAUGCAGCCAUGCCGCGUGUGUGAAGAAGGCCUUCGGGUUGUAAAGCACUUUCAGUAGGGAGGAAGGUAGUGUAGUUAACACCUGCAUUAUUUGACGUUUACCUACAGAAGAAGCACCGGCUAACUCCGUGCCAGCAGCCGCGGUAAUACGGAGGGUGCGAGCGUUAAUCGGAAUUACUGGGCGUAAAGCGCAUGCAGGCGGCCUGUUAAGUCAGAUGUGAAAGCCCGGGGCUUAACCUCGGAAUUGCAUUUGAAACUGGCAGGCUAGAGUCUUGUAGAGGGGGUAGAAUUUCAGGUGUAGCGGUGAAAAUGCGUAGAGAUCUGAAGGAAUACCAGUGGCGAAGGCGGCCCCCUGGACAAAGACUGACGCUCAGAUGCGAAAAGCGUGGGGAGCAAACAGGAUUAGAUACCCUGGUAG